UUAGCUAUUUUAGAUAGGUUUGUAUUCAUAAAAAUUAUGGGUACAAACACAGCAUUUGUUUGUAUCUAUGAUGGCUAAGGAUGUUUGAGAUGACUUGCUCGCCGCAUAGAUGAAAAAUCUAUAGUGGCUUUUUUAUUUGAUUAUUUCAGGGCCCACUGU
rnacentral:ncRNA from 1 species